rnacentral:rRNA from 1 species
UUAUUAUAUUUAUUUUAGCAUUAAUCUAUAUGUAUAUUUUUGUAUUGUUUAAUUUCUAAAAGAAAAUAAAAUUUUAGAAUCGGCAGUAGAUGAUUUUAUUUUUAUUAAGGUGUUUUAGAUUUGGUAAAUGUUAAUUAGAAUUGGUUAAAGUUGUGCCAGCCAUCCGCGGUUAUACAGCAAAUUCAAAUAAAUAUUUUUGGUUUUUAAAUAAUUAUUAUUUUGAGGAUAUAUAUAUUAAUUGAAAUAUUUAAAGGUGAAAUGUUUAUAUUAUUUUGAGGAGAUAUAAAUUAGGAAGUAAGAUUAUUAUGAAAUUGAAAACAUAAACUAGGAUUAGAUACCCUAUUAUUUUUAUUGUUAAAUUGUAAACUUGAGUAUUAGUAGAUAUGAUCUUGAAACUUAAAGAAUUUGGCGGUAUUAUAGUCUAUUUAGAGGAAUCUGUUAUGUAAUUGAUAGUCCGCGUUGAAUCUUACUUAUAUUAUUAUCUUGUAUACCGCUGUUUAUGAAUAUACUUUUAGGUUAUUUUCUUGAUGUGAUGUUAGAAAGGAUUUCAAGUCAAGGUGCAGUAAUAUAUAAGUUGGGUAAUGGAUUACAUUAAAUUAUAUUUAUUACGGAUAAUUAUUUGAAUAUUAUUUGAAGGUGGAUUUAAUUGUAAUUUUAUGAAGAUUGUUAAAAUGAUUAUUAGCUCUAUAAUAUGUACACAUCGCCCGUCACUCUCAUUAUUAAGGUGAGAUAAGUCGUAACAAAGUAGGUGUAUCGGAAGAUGUACCUAGAAAGGAUAAAUUAAGUG